UCCAUUCUCUCUUUUUCUUUUUUUCUUCCAUUUUGCAGCUUCCAUGGCAGCUAGGAGAUGGCUCAGCAUUGUGGUCGAUGGAAGCACAGUCAUGGCUCCUUAUUGGCGUAAAAUUGUUUCAGAUUAUCUCGUAAACAUUGUCAGGUCCUUCUUUGGCAAUUCAAGAGGAGAGGGAGGUUAUCCUACUUGUGAGGUUGGAUUAAUAAUGUACAACCCCAAUCCAAGCCUAGG